UAAAUAAUGUCAAAAAAAAAAAGUGUAGACUUUGUAUUCUUAGCAAACACUAAUAUAAUAAAGUUUUAGAUACGGAGCACAAAUUACAAUGUUAUAUCAAUCGUGUUUUGAACAUAAUAUAUAUAAAAAAAAAAAAAAUUGGGCCCCAUAUUAAACAGACCCAUUAAAAACAAAUUGUAAAAAAAAAAUUGUGGGCCCUAUAUGUAUUAAACAACAACUAAUAUUAAAAAAAAUGUGGGCCCCAUAUUAAACACCAUCCAGUAUUAAAAAAAAAAAUGAAACCCACCACAUCCAAACUCACGGGAAAAAAAAAAGUGAACCCCAUAUUAACAAAAUCAAGCAAUAUUGAAAAAAAAAGGUGAAUCCCAUAUUUAAAAAAUAAAUAAUGUUAAAAAAAAAUGUGGGCCCCAUAUUAAACACCAUGCGUAUUCGUAGCAAACACUAAUAUAAUAAAAUUUUAAAUACGAAGCACAAACUAAAAUGUUAUAUUACUCGUGUUUUGAACAUAAUAUCCCAUAUUGACAAAAUCAAGCUAU